rnacentral:rRNA from 1 species
AGAGUUUGAUCCUGGCUCAGGACGAACGCUGGCGGUGUGCUUCACACAUGCAAGUCGAGCGAAUGAAGUAGGUAGCUUGCUACUUAUGGAUUUAGCGGCGGACGGGUGAGUAAUAUAUAGGAAUCUGCCUUAGAGCGGGGAACAACAGACCGAAAGGUUUGCUAAUGCCCCAUAGGUAUGCAGUCUUCGGAUUGUAUAUUAAAGGAGUAAUCCACUCUAGGAUGAGCCUGUAUCCGAUUAGCUAGUUGGCGGGGUAAAGGCCCACCAAGGCUACGAUCGGUAGUUGGUCUGAGAGGAUGAUCAGCCACAAUGGGACUGAGACACGGCCCAUACUCCUACGGGAGGCAGCAGUGGGGAAUUUUACACAAUGGGGGAAACCCUGAUGUAGCGACACCGCGUGAACGAAGAAGCCUUUUGGGGUGUAAAGUUCUGUCGGCUGGAACGAAAAAAAUGACGGUACCAGCAAAGGAAGCAUCGGCUAACUACGUGCCAGCAGCCGCGGUAAGACGUAGGAUGCAAGCGUUGUCCGGAUUUAUUGGGCGUAAAGAGUUCGUAGGCGGUUAUUUAAGUCUGAUGUUAAAUACUGUGGCCCAACCACAGAACUGCAUUGGAUACUGGAUGACUUGAGUGCGGUAGAGGCAAGUGGAAUUCCCAGUGUAGCGGUGAAAUGCGUAGA